UACAGAGGGUGCGAGCGUUGUUCGGAAUUAUUGGGCGUCAAGCGCUUGUAGGCGGCUUGUUAAGUCGCGUGUGAAAUCCCCAGGCUCAACCUGGGAAGUGCGCGCGAAACUGGCGAGCUUGAAUGCCGGAGAGGGUCGCGGAAUUCCCGGUGUAGAGGUGAAAUUCGUAGAUAUCGGGAGGAACACCAGUGGCGAAGGCGGCGACCUGGACGGACAUUGACGCUGAGACGCGAAAGCGUGGGGAGCAAACAGG
rnacentral:rRNA from 1 species